rnacentral:rRNA from 1 species
GAUGAACGCUGGCGGCGUGCCUAAUACAUGCAAGUAGAACGCUGAAGGAAGGAGCUUGCUCUUUCCGGAUGAGUUGCGCACGGGUGAGUAACGCGUAGGUAACCUGCCUGGUAGCGGGGGAUAACUAUUGGAAACGAUAGCUAAUACCGCAUAACAGUAGAUGUUGCAUGAUAUCUACUUAAAAGGUGCAAUUGCACCACUACCAGAUGGACCUGCGUUGUAUUAGCUAGUUGGUGAGGUAACGGCUCACCAAGGCGACGAUACAUAGCCGACCUGAGAGGGUGAUCGGCCACACUGGGACUGAGACACGGCCCAGACUCCUACGGGAGGCAGCAGUAGGGAAUCUUCGGCAAUGGACGGAGGUCUGACCGAGCAACGCCGCGUGAGUGAAGAAGGGUUUCGGAUCGUAAAGCUCUGUUGUAAGAGAAGAACGAGUGUGAGAGUGGAAAGUUCACACUGUGACGGUAUCUUACCAGAAAGGGACGGCUAACUACGUG